UAUAUCUGAGUAUUUAUGUACACGAAUUUUUGAAAUUCGAGGAGUUAGUUAAAUUCUAGUAGUUAUAA
rnacentral:tRNA from 1 species